rnacentral:misc_RNA from 1 species
AAAGUCGUAACAAGGUUUCCGUAGGUGAACCUGCGGAGGGAUCAUCAAAGAAUUUUCCAUUCAAAAAAAAAGUGUUUGAGAGGGAGGAGAAAUUCUCACUCUUGGCACUUUUUUCAAACAAACGAUCGCAACUAAAAACAGAGAGAGACUUUUGGGGGGGGAGGUUAUGUGUCGAAAACAAACAAAAGUGUUUGCCUGAUAAACCAAAAUUGAUUUGGAGAAAAACAAAAUAUACAACUUUCAACAACGGAUCUCUUGGCUCUC